AUUGAACGCUAGCGGGAUGCUUUACACAUGCAAGUCGAACGAGUGGCGGACGGGUGAGUAAUAUAUCGGAACGUGCCCAGUAGCGGGGGAUAACUACUCGAAAGGGUGGCUAAUACCGCAUACUAUUGGAGCGGCCGAGAUGGGAUUAGCUAGUUGGUGGGGUAAAGGCUCACCAAGGCAACGAUCCGUAGCUGGUUUGAGAGGAUGACCAGCCACACUGGGACUGAGACACGGCCCAGACUCCUACGGGAGGCAGCAGUGGGGAAUAUUGCACAAUGGGCGCAAGCCUGAUGCAGCCAUGCCGCGUGUAUGAAGAAGGCCUUCGGGUUGUAAAGUACUUUCAGCCGGGAGGCGUUACCGACAGAAGAAGCACCGGCUAACUCCGUGCCAGCAGCCGCGGUAAUUC
rnacentral:rRNA from 1 species